ACAUGUCCCAAGUGCAGGGAGAGUUUGAGGCUGGAGCUGAAAACUGGGAAGGUCAUCACAAAGGAUAUACUUUAGAGCCAUGGGACCAGAGGAGAUAAUCUCAGGGAUAGGUGCAGGUGAGGACUUCAGGAAGGUUGAGGAACGAAGCGUGGGCACUCCAACAUGUAUAGAUUAGGUGAGCAAAGGAGAAGAACAGGACUGCUAGAAAAAUGGGAGCACCGGAAAUCAUACAAGUGUCACAGUGGCAUAGCCCACAACCUUCACAGCAUUUGGACACAGUUGCCUUUCGCAAGAGGUGAAGAAAAAUAUUACCCUGGCAUUUCUACAGAAGCCUGGACAUGCACAGGAAGAAACACAUUUGCAAGCUCUAUAGCCCAAUCCUUCAACUGAAACGUGUCUACUUAGAAGAAUGUUAAUUUAAUGAAUGCAAAUAAAUUAAGACAUGUUUUUUCCCUUGAUAUAAAAUUGUUUUACCACAAUGUAUUACUCUACUCUUCUGUUUCAUGAACCACCUACAUGUGGGUAACAGCCCUCCAAGAACAGAAUGCAGUCCAGUCUGUUCAAUAGCCUAAAAACAUCUUAAAGCCAUCUGCUAUUAAAUGUGUUCAGGGAAGAAGGAAGCAAAGGGGUAAAAAGAAGAUACAAUAUUCAAAAUGUUACUAAUUGAUUAUAAGAUUUUAUUUCUGCAAAUGUUCAGUUUCAGAAUUUCACACGAAAGAAUCUAAAUUAAUAAUUUUAGCCUGUCUAUUUUCACCUAUUCUUUUGGGAAACUCUUUAUAGUGCCUAUUCAACUAGCACCCCAAAGAGAAAUGGGAAACAAUGUACAAAAUCUAGAUACAUAUAGAUGAUUCUCAAAUGCAUAAAGUAAAUGAGGCCAGUCCUAAAUAUGUAGGUUACAUAUUUUGGGGACUUAUAAAGAGAAAAAUGAGAAGGGUUACAUGAUGGUCUGAAUAAUUUUUGCAACUAGCCACUGAACAUGUCCUACAUAAACAUUUACAGGAGAAAAGUAAUAUAUUUUUCUCACCCAUUGAAAGGAUCAUAGCUGAUAUCCCUAUAACAAAAGACAAAUUAACAAGAGAAAAGCAAUAAUAAAUAUAUUUAACCAUAUUUUUAUGUGACAUAGGAUCCCUCAGAGAUGAAGACCCAAAGAUGCAUAAAAUACUGUAUAUUUUUAUGCGGACAUUUGAUGAAGAAUGAACAAUCAUGUAGAAGAGUAACUGGACAAAAAGGGGAUAUGACCUAUUGUUAAUGACUUAUGGGGAACUUAGCAGGGCCUAUUUGUUCUGACUCUUCUAGGCUUCCAGAUAUAGGGUGGGACUCCUCUAGAAUGAGGACCUUAUAACUUACUUUCAGAAUUUCUUGAUGACCAUGCUUCAGUGAAGAAAGGUGGGAGAAGGUCAGCGUAACUGCUUCUGCUGUUUACUCAAUUGCCUCAGUUCCAUAUUUUGGGGUAACAUGUUCUGAGCUCCAGUAAGAAAAACAGCCACCUAAUAAUAACUAUUAUUUAUUUUAUACUCACUGAGUACCAGGCACUAUGUCAAACAUUUUACACUCAUUAUUUCAUUUAACUCUCAUGACACUUUUGUGGAUGCAUUCUUAGUUUAAAAAUAAACUGAGACACUGAGACAUUAUCCAAGUUAUUCAAAUGACACAAUUAGUUAGUAAAUAGCAGCAUGAAAUUCAGCUCAUUUUUCUGUGACAUAAAAGCCUAUUUUUUGGCCCCUACAUCCUUGCUGCCAACUUUGACAGCAAGUCAUGCCUUGUGACUUGGGGAGAAUCUUGAUAGUACACGUCUUAGAACCUCACAGAGAUAACUCUAAAUUUAGGCCACUAACAAGAACAACAACAGGUUAGAGUCACAGCCUGAACAUUCACCUCACCAAAGGCAAACUGCAUAAUCUGACCAGUGUCUACCCUUGCAUUUGUAAAACAAAAUUUAUGUUAAAAAAAGACGCUUACACUUGGCAACAGUGUGUCUGCCUCAGUCAUUUAUAUUCACAGAGAGGAUAAGCAGGAAAACUUUUUUUCUAAAGGUAUGUGACAACUGAGAGGCCACAGAACAUGCACUCUGUAGUAUACAGCAAAUAAACCUGAGACUGCAAAGGCAAGAAGUCUGGGCAAGCUCCCUGUUUGAAUGAAUAGCAUGUGUGAGCUGCGAUGGCCUUCUCACUUCCACCUCACUACUCCCUUUGUCAGAGGCCUUCAAACUAGAGCAGUGUUCAAACCAGAGCAACUCCAUCUUGAGUGAGGAUAGGAAAAUGAGGCUGGGACUUGCUGGGCUGCAUUCCCAGAAAAGCAUUCCUAGCCUCUAAAUGUUUACAGUU